GGGCCCGUAGCUCAGCAGGUUAGAGCAGCUGACUCAUAAUCAGCAGGUCGUAGGUUCGAUUCCUACCGGGCCCA
rnacentral:tRNA from 1 species